GAUUUUCUGUGCGCCGGUUUUUUCUAAGUCACUCAAAAUGUAGCACUUUGUUAAUUUAGUCAAUUUAAACAUGUUUUUACUAGGAGCUGCUAAUCCGGGGGUAUCCGAAGGGCAUAAGUUAGGAAAAUGAGCUCACGCGAAUUAAAUAUGAUCGAACCGAAUAUAUAAAUGCAAUAACCUCCACAGAUUACGCGAAUAUCUUACAUCAAGGAACCGUUUGAGUUUACUAAGCCACAACAACUAUUGGCUUACGAAACGCCAUCUUGGUCAAUUAGCCAGUGUGGUAAAGUGCCAAGAAAAAAGUAGCUCUUGCACACUUCAAUAGUUUAAGCAUGUAAGCGUGCAUUGCGACGACAUAUUUAUGUACAUAUGUAUAUCUUAUUGUUGCAUCCGCCAUAAACUAUUAGCUUUCUGAAAUAUGAGGUCUUUACAUUCUGUUUAUCAAAACCGAUCUUCGCUAUAAACAAGGAGAAUCGAAGAAAUCGUACUGCGCCACAUCUUUCAUCUUAAAGCGUGUUAUAAAUGAAGGACCUGGUGCUUCUCAUUAAUUCUUGGCUAGUUUUCGCACAAUCGCUAGAAAAACAUUUACAACUCAACACUUACUAUGAAAUUUAAUCAAUUGUAAGUUAUCUAAGCGUGUACCGAAUGAUUUAUGAAAAUGAAUACUUUUAAAUUUAAACUUUAUGAAUUCGAUGUAAGAUAUGUAUAUUGGCACAGAGCAGAAAUUGACCGCAUGGUUGUAUUACGCUUUUAUGGUAUUUUUUAGCUGUUUUCGCAAUAUUUGUUUGACAUCGUUAAAAAAUACUAAAGUUAAAUUGUAACUGUCUUUCGAUCGAUACAUAAAGCUUUUUACAAUGUAAUUAUUAUAAGAAAAAAUUUGAAAAUAUAUUGGUAUAAGAAACGACCUACAUGAACAUUAA